rnacentral:tRNA from 1 species
GGGGCGUAGCUCAGUUGGGAGAGCGCUUGACUGGCAGUCAAGAGGUCAGGGGUUCGAUCCCCCUCGUCUCC